rfam:Glomerella graminicola M1.001 genomic scaffold supercont1.13, whole genome shotgun sequence.
GGCAACUUGGCCGAGCGGUCUAAGGCGCCAGACUCAAGAUACCGGUCCGUUCAAAGACCUGCAUCUUCCCUAUGUACUAGGGAGCAUUCUGGUCUCGAAAGAGGCGUGAGUUCGAAUCUCACAGUUGUCA